GUACAAUUUCUUUUCUAAUAAAAAAGUAUGAAGAAAUUUAAAAAUAUGUGAGUUUUUUUCUACUUUCUCAUUUGUAAAUAAGAAUAUGUUCACUUUACAAUUAGAAAAAAAAACUUUUCAUAGAAGGUCAGACAUUUUAAACAUACAAUUAUGCUGACAUCUGAUUUUCUGAACAUAAUUCUUGGAAGCUACAUCUGGCACUGCUUUUAUUAAGGUGGUACUGUAAGACAGACUAACCCCAGUCUGUCAUUCCAUGGUCAGAGGUAAAGAUAAAUGCUGUUUUCCCAUCAUCUCCAUAAAAAUGCUUGAAAAUUGAUACGAUUUCCUUCACUCCAUCAUCAACUUUUUUAAUAUUGUCCUUAUAUUCCCUGUUUACAAAAAAAACAAAAAACAAGUUAAAUUAAUGUAGAGAAAUAAAAUGUAUUCAACUGAGACUCAUUACAUUUAAAGUAAAAAACUGAAAAAAAUGCUUUCAGAUUUAACCUUUACUACUUUAAAUCAGAGCUUAUAAGACUAAUUUUUUGUUUAAUAAAUUUUAAAAAUUGGAAAUAGUUUUCAUAGACAUUUUAAAAGAAAAGUAUUGAUUACUAGAUACAUUAAAUGAAUACUUUAAAAAUUCUAAACAGGAUAAUAAAGACUUUCAAGUUUGUGCAUCUAAUAAACUACAUUGUUCUGGUGACCUUAAUAGGAAAGUCAUUAUUUAAAGUACAGCGUUUCCCACUCUAUAAAGUACUUGUGAUUUCUAUCUACUACACUGUUGAGAACAAACUGAACUCAUGCUUCCCAUAUAGUUACAAAGUCAGCUUAAUAUGAAUGAAUAUAUUCCACUAAUGAAAGCACUGCAUCACGUUAAACUAGGGGAAUAUGAGAUAUCUAUGCUUGUAAUUAAACCAGCAGACAGUAGAAUUAAUAUAAAACCAACUCAAGAUAAAGAAUAAAAGUUCAAAUGAUUUCCUCUUCCUUAUGGUCUGCAAAUCUGAGACUACCACUGAAGAACUAAUAAACAGCACUUUAUGCAAUUGUUUGCUGGAUACAAUGCUGUUAAAUAAACACCCAAAGGCAUUACAUCUGUAAUAAAAUCCAUACCAUAAAAUGUUUGUGCUUUUGAGAUUUACCGGAAACACUCCUAAAAAUGUGGGUCCUUUAGAUACUUUUCUCUGCCUUGAUAAAUGAAUACAGACUAUAUGCAAACUCUAUCUCGCUUAUUUUAACGUGCAGCAUAGCCAAAGCACAGAUCAUUUUAAACAGUAUAAAAUUACACAUCAUAUAACUGAAAACAUUAUAAAGGAUAGUAGUACAUGAAGUAUUAGUUUUGUUGUCAUCAUUACAAAGAAAAUUCCAAACUAUACCAACAUUUUAAACAAAAUAGCUAUUCCCCACAAGAUCAAACAGAACACACGAUUCUGAUUACCUUGACGAUGGUCGAUGAGCAUGUCCAUUUGUAUCUAUUCCCAAUAAAUGUAAGAAAAAAACUACUUUUUCUUCAUUUACUUUUGUGAACAAAGAUUGGUUGUUUCUUGCAGCAUCAAAGAAGUCCUACAUGUAACAAAUCAGGUGAAAACUAAUUUAUUUAAAUUUAUAAAUAAUUGUAACUUUUAAAGAAAGAUUUAUUUAUUUUAUGUAUGAGAGUACACUGUUUAUCCUUUCAGACCCACCAGGAGAGGGCAUUGCAUCCCAUUACAGAUAGUUGUGAGUCACCAUGUGGUUGCUGGGAAUCCUUGAACUCAGGACCCCUGGAAGAGCAGUCUGUGCUUUU
rnacentral:lncRNA from 1 species